rnacentral:snRNA from 1 species
AUACUUACCUGGCAGGGGAGAUACCAUGAUCAUGAAGGUGGUUUUCCCAGGGCAAGGCUUAUCCACUGCACUCCAGAUGUGCUGACCUCUGCCAUUUCCCCAAAUGUGGGAAACUCAACUGCAUAAUCUGUGGUAGCGGGGAGACUGCGUUGGCGCUUUCCCCUC